UUUUAGAAACAAAAAAUGACUCAUUUCUUCAUGAGGGCUUGGUGUGUAAUGGCUGGAAACAGUGGCCUCAUUAGUAGUGUAUACAACCUGUUGCUUAUAUUGAUUGCUGUAAGGGACUUUGGAAAGAUAG
ensembl:snoRNA SNORA70 Small nucleolar RNA SNORA70